rnacentral:rRNA from 1 species
GAUGAACGCUAGCGGCAGGCUUAACACAUGCAAGUCGAGGGGUAACAUUAGUGCUUGCACUAGAUGACGACCGGCGCACGGGUGCGUAACGCGUAUAGAAUCUACCUUUUACAGGGGGAUAGCCUUUAGAAAUGAAGAUUAAUAUCCCAUAGUAUUGUUUAGUGGCAUCACUUAACAAUUAAAGAUUUAUCGGUAAAAGAUGACUAUGCGUCCUAUUAGUUAGUUGGUAAGGUAACGGCUUACCAAGACUUCGAUAGGUAGGGGUCCUGAGAGGGAGAUCCCCCACACUGGUACUGAGACACGGACCAGACUCCUACGGGAGGCAGCAGUGAGGAAUAUUGGGCAAUGGAGGCAACUCUGACCCAGCCAUGCCGCGUGCAGGAAGACUGCCCUAUGGGUUGUAAACUGCUUUUAUACAGGAAGAAACACUGCUACGUGUAGCAGCUUGACGGUACUGUAAGAAUAAGGACCGGCUAACUCCGUG